rnacentral:piRNA from 1 species
CGGGAAGAACGAUUCCUCCAUCCUGGAUGA